GAUGAAUUGACCCAUGAUGAUGUGCAUGUGAACUUUACUCAAGAAGAAUGGGCUUUACUGAAUCCUUCACAGAAGAAUCUCUACAAAGAUGUGAUGUUGGAGACUUACAGGAACCUCAAUGCUGUAGGUUACAAUUGAGAAGAGCAUACUUUUGAAAAACAUUGCCAAAGUUCCAGAUGACAUGGAAGGCAUGAAAGAAGUUAUACUGGAGAGAGAACCCCUGAAAAUACUCAGUCACAGUUACAUGCCUUUACAUGUCACAGUUAUCCUCCAAGGCAUGAAAGAAUUCAUACUGGAGAAAACCUCUGUGAAGGCAUUCAGUAUGGUGAAGCCUUUGUACAUCACAGCAGUCUCCAAAUGCAUAAAAUAAUACAUACUGGAGAGAAAUGCUACAAGUGCAAUCACUGUGAUAAAGCCUAUUCACGACACAGUCAUCUCAAAAUGCAUAUAAUUACACAUACUGGAGAGAAAUCUUACAAAUGUGAUCAAUGUGGUAAAGCCUUUACACAACACCGUAAUCUCAAAUUACAUAAAAUAACACAAACUGGAGAGAAACCCUAUGGAUGUAAUCAAUCUAGUAAAUCCUUUGCUUCUCCUGCUCAACUUCAAAAACAUGAAAGAGUUCAUUCUGGAGAGAAAUCUUACACAUGUAGUCAAUGUGGUAAAGCCUUUGUACAUCAAUAUGAUCUUCAAAGACAUGAAAGGAUACAUACUGGAGAAAAACCAUAUGAAUGUAAGCAAUGUAGUAAAUCCUUUACUUCUCAUAAUCAAUUUCAAAUACAUGAAAGAAUUCAUACUGGAGAGAAACCUUACAAAUGUAAUCAGUGUGGUAAAGACUUUGCCUAUCAUAGAACUUUCCAAGUACAAAAAAGAGCACAUACCGGAGAGAAGCCCUAUGAAUGUAAUAAAUGUGUCAAAGCCUUUGCAUACCAAAAUUAUUUCCAAGUACAUAAAACUAUACAUACUGGAGAGAAACCUUCUGAAUGUAAGCAAUGUAGUAAAUCCUUUGUUUCUCGUGUUUCAUGUGGGAAACAUGAAAGAAUUCAUACCGGAAAGAAAGUUUAUAAAUGUAGACAAUGUGGUAAAGCCUAUUCAUAAUCAAGUCACUUCCAACUACAUAAAAGAACAUGUACUAAAGAGUAACCCCAUGAAUAUAACCAAAGUGGUAAAGCCUUUA
rnacentral:lncRNA from 1 species